ensembl:rRNA 5S_rRNA 5S ribosomal RNA
GUCUACAGGCAUUCCAUCCUGAAUGAGCCCAAUCUCAUCUGAUUUCAGAAUUUAAGCAAGGUCUGGCAAGGUUAGUACUUGAAUGGAAGAUGGGUUGCAUGGGAGGAAAAAUCAGAUUUGUGGAUU